ACAGUAGGGGCGAUAGAGGGGGUGUUAGCCCCUCCUUACUGCUGUCAUUGAAGAAGAAAAAAUAGGAAAAUAAAAAAGAGCAGGAGGAAGAAAGGAAACCACAGCCAUACAGGCAGUGCUACUCAGCUGAACUGUAUCUGCUGCCUGUUUAACAGUGGGGAGAAGACAUUAUUAGUCGGCGUGCUCCUCCCUCUCCACAGCCAGGCAGCCUUAUCUGUCAGCCAUUAGUUAAUCAAGGCUGGUAACGUAGAAGUAAAGCAGAAAACCGGCACAGCGCAUGGGGCCAAAGAACAACCUCUGAGAGCUGAGCUGAGCAGUGCAGGAGGAGGGCAAGGCCCUGGGAACCGACCAACCCCUCCACUCUAAACUCUACUACCAGGCUAGGCUGCUGCCUCACUCUACUCAACACUGGAUCAGAGCGUGUCUUUGUCUAGGCAUGGCAGGCUGCAAUUAUAUGAUGACAUCCGCCCAUUCCAUCACAGAGGACAGGUCCUGUUUUGCAAGGAAGUUUCAAAGACAGAAGUCAAAACAACACAUGCUGUCGACGUGGGAAAAGCUGGUAAGAGCAGAACACCGUGGGGCGGAGGAAUGUCAGAGUCAUAGAUCGUUCAUCCUCAAGGCCAAAAUAGCCACACACAGGCCUGAUCAUCUCCAUGCAUGGGAAGAAACAUUAAGCAACACCUCAUACUAGCACUAAUACAGUCCAGUCUAACCCUGGCCAACGUGGUCCAAAUCUGGCAUCCAGACAUCAGUGGUCAAAGAGAUAUCAUUAGACAAUUACUACACGAGUAAGUAGGCUGUAUUAACUGAAAUGAAUUGGUAUUAACUCGCAAAUAGGAUUUCCUCACAAAAGAGUUGGCACAAACCAAUGUCAUAAGUAUAUUUAGAUACCGAAGGUAAAAAAUAGGGACAUUUCUUAUUGGCGUCACCAUGGAGUUUAUUGUAAGGGUAAUGACGAUUGAAAAGGAUAUUGCAAAGUCUAAAUAAAUAUUGGUCUGUGUUAAUUAACAAAGUUGACAAAAUGUUCACUACAAGAGCUUAAGGCUGCUUGUGAUGGAAAAUGAAAGCAGUCGACUAAACUCAACUGUGUAGUUGGUGCCAAACUGUGCCUCUGCCAUGGCUAGAAACUCAAAUAAACAAUCCUAAAAGGGCAUAUUAAGUUUCCCCAACACUAUUCUCUUUUUAAGUCAACACCACUCAGAAAAGAUGAACUGAGCAAACCAUAAGUCAACUUUCGGGAAUGACAAAAACAACCAGUUUUUCUACCUGUCCAAACAUUCAGCUGGAACCAAGAUCCAUUUCCAUGUCCCACUCCAGAAAAACUCCAUUGGUGCUUCAUUGAGUACAAUGCUUUUGUCUCAUAAAGCUUUGCCAGACCAGGAAAGUGAACCUGAUUUCGGACAGCAGAACUAAAAAGACGGAACAAUGCAUGAGAUUCUAAAGUGACCUUUGGCCCAGGAUUUCCAAGAGCUUCCAAGAGUCCCUAUUCCUGGCAAAUUCCAUCUUCUUCUUACUCAACACCACUUCACUGUUAAGCUGUCAAGACCCAAACUCUAGUGUCAUUUAUCCUAGUGACGAGUUCACAACCAAAGCCAAAGACAUAGUGUUCUUUUAAAAUAAAUAAAUAAAAUCAAAUGUUAUUUGCCACAUGCUUCGUAAACAACAAGUGUAGACUAACAGUGAAAUGCUUACCUACGGGCCCUUCCCAUCAACGCAGAGAAAAAUGAUAGAAAAAAAUGAUAACACAAGGAAUAAAUACACAACGAGUAACGAUAACUUGGCUAUAUAUAUGGGGUACAGCUAAUGUUUGUCUUACAGCAUUGUUCAUCCUGGGUUCCCAUAACAGAAUUGCAUCGUAAGACACCAACGACCUUGACCUUGGCCAACCAAAAAGCUACAGUACAGAUAUCAAAGAGACACAAGAAAAUGUUGCCCAAAAUAUUGUAUGAUGGGACGAUCACAUUGUUGUUAGAUUGUUUGUAAUUUAGAGGUGGUUGAUCUUCAACACCUGCCCGUGUGUGUCUCAUUAACACAUUCCUCCAAUUUGAACCCUCUGUUUACACCUCUGUCUUUUUAUGGGGCUGUUAUGGGGGUGAAAUUGUUGUGUGUUGCUGGUGUGUUUCACAAGCCUGAUAUGCUAUCUACCUUUGAUUUCACACCCACUAUACCACUCUUUGAAGAUGUGCAACAAUGUACAAUCUGCAGCUGGGCUCAGUGGAUUCCAAAAAUGGUGUUAAGCCUUGAGAAUAACUCUGUCCUUAACAGUAGAAGGAAAACAAGUUAGGUAAUAGCAUUGACUACAAAGUCAAAGGCAACUAUAAUUCCUUGGCUUCUAGCACAUCAGAUAUAAUAUUUGCCCACCAACGACUGCUUCAUGUAGCCACACUGUAUAUUUUCAGAUCCUAGACGGGUGUCAAACAUACAGCCCAUGGGCCGGUUCCCUGGGUGGUUUGAGUAUAUACUAUAUUUUUUAAUAGGACUAUAUCAUUAUUCUGUCAUUAUUCUGAGUGGCGCGGCGGUUUAAGGCCCUGCAUUGCAGUGCUAGAGGCGUCACUACAGACCCAGGUUCGAUCCGUGAUCCGGAGUCUCCAGACCUCAUUGACAAAAUUAGUUUGUGCUUGAAAUUUACUCUGGCGGAUCUGACGCUGGAGGAUGAUAUAAGAGGACUGAACAUUGCGUGAUGUAAAUGGCGGUGUCGUUUAAUCACAAAAGGAUGGGAGGGAGACGUUGGGGCUGAAUAUGUAACAUCGAUGAGUACUGUAGGCUCAGACAUUGACUUGCUGGAAUGUCUUCACCAUCUGUGAACCAGCGGCCAUAAAGCUCUGAGAGACAGAUGCACAAGUAGAAACAGACCUGCCAGCCAGGUAGCCAAUGUGGAACGUGCAGUACAGGACCCACAUCAGUAAAGGUAGAGCCUGGAAGUCUUCAUAUAAAGAGUAAUACACUGUCUACUGCACUGCUAACUGACGCCACACAAGAAAGCAGCGGUGUAGGGUGUCUUGGUAAGAUGUGAAGUAAAAAGUAAUAAGCUCUACUUUCUAGGGAGAUAUCGUAUUUUGAGUGGGUUACCACGUUCUUCUAGGGCAACCUCAAACACUUUUCCCACUGAACCAAGUUUGGGGAGAAAAAAAAUGUAGACAAAUAUGAAGAGUUUGUACAGUCCGACUACCAAGGUACAUCAACAUGACAGCCACCAACAGGCCCCAACAUGAAUAAUCUCCAGUAGAGACGAGGUGAGAGGAACAUGCAUUGAAGUCCCAUUUCAGAGAGGAUUCACCCCAUAAGCUUUAGAGACCUUUCUCUCAGAUGCGUUGCAAUGCCAGUUGAGGACCUGUUCCCGAUCAUUGGACGAGCCAGGGAAAGCCUAGUUUAAACGCUUCCAGAUCUCUACUUAUUUUAUCCCCCUGCAUCCAUCCCCAGCUGUAGCACCAGUGAAACAAAAAUCUGCCUAAACUAGUCUCUCAAUCUUUUCCCCACUCUCUCUCCACUUGCUCUGCUCUGUAUCCAGUUUCUUUGUGGUCGCGAGUCAACUCCUGCCAUUUUAUGUCAUCAUCCUCCGUCACUGAGACUGCAUUAGUGGCUAUGUCUAAAUGAGGCUUUAAUGUACAGGACUAGGCCACAUAGAGCCAAAUAUAUAUCAAACUUUGAAGUUUGACAUCAACCGUGCUUGAUCGCAGAUGUCUAUAUAGGCAGGAGGGUUCACUGGUUUAGAUGAAAGACUCUCCAUCGCUGACACUUAAUAUUUAUGUUCCAUAUGUACUACAUAAAUAUCUUGUAUAGUUCUCUCUCAGCCAAACGUUAAGAAAUGUGUGUGUUUUGUUGGGCAAUCUGGGAUAAAAACAAAUCAAUCUUUGUAUACAAGCCGUGUCUUUUCUCUGUCAUUUGUUUCUAUUGAGGCAAGGCAGCAUUAUUUCAUUGCUCUCUAAAUUGCAAGAAAUAAAUCUUGGACACAUCAAUGUUGAUGGAGAGCAUACUAAUAUUACAGUUGUUUUUUAAUCAAAUCCUGGGACAAAAACAAAUGACUUUGAUUUAAAACAGACAGGAAAUGUAAUAAUGAAAAAAAUGAGACUUAUUUUGAUAUAUGUUUUGUCUGUCCUCCAUGUUUUCCAACUGUUUGGCCUUUCGAUACAGACUUUGUUGCUGCUGUCAAAGCUAUACUUCUGUCCAAAGAUGUUGAUGCCUCAGAUAACAUCUUGAAGCAGAAUCUGGUUUGGUGCCUCCAAAGCCUUAACCCUCCGAACAUGCCCAAUCCUACAAGUAUACUGACCAAUACAACUCAUCAAUUGCAUAAUUUGGUUUGGCUUAAUGAAUAAACCACCACUAACAGGGACCAAAUGUAACAUUAGCAUCCUGCUCUGGUUUCCAACCUAUGACAAGAACCAUGCUUGAAGAACUGAGACUGAGGGAACCUCCAAGUCUCCAAGUCCUAGCUAGUCCAGUUGAUCAGUGCUACACCGGCAUAUGGGCUGGAUCAGAAAACACAAACUCAAUGAUGUUACUACCAUCUGACCCCAGGGUGACAGGUUUAGGGAAUUUGCCUCAGGCCAAAGUCAAAAAUGUUUAUGUUGUUGUCAUUUUAAACAAAUAUGUUUAUGUUGUUGUCAUUUUAACAAAUGUCUUUCGUUCAGGGUCACGUCAACAAAGAUCGCUCUCAUUGGGACUCCCCCACUAACUGCAGGAAAUUGUGUUUAUAAGCAACAAAUAGGCAUAAAUUACUAAAAUGUUGGAGUGUUCAAUUCAUCACAUUAUUGUUGGUUAGUUCUGCUUCACCCCAAAAAGGGUUGCAGCUGUUUUUAAAGCAAUCAACAUUACUUAAUGAUGUUACCAUUGUUGCUAUUUCUAUUUUGUGUGGAACUACUACUGCUCCCAAACUGUGUUUGAAUAACAAAAUCUGUGCAAUAAAUUUCAAUUAUUUUCUGUC